UACGUAGGGGGCAAGCGUUAUCCGGAUUUACUGGGUGUAAAGGGAGCGUAGACGGAGUUGCAAGUCUGAUGUGAAAAUCCGGGGCCCAACCCCGGAACUGCAUUGGAAACUGUAUUUCUAGAGUGUCGGAGAGGCAAGUGGAAUUCCUGGUGUAGCGGUGAAAUGCGUAGAUAUCAGGAGGAACACCAGUGGCGAAGGCGGCUUGCUGGACGAUGACUGACGUUGAGGCUCGAAAGCGUGGGGAGCAAACAGG
rnacentral:rRNA from 1 species